GAUAUUCUCUUCCGUUAGUAAAACAGGAUGAAAAUAUAAAAGGAAAAAAAUUUUCUUCUCUGUUUCGUCUUCCAUAAUAACAUCUACAAGAAAAAGACAUUCAGCUUGUGGUCAAAAUUUUAUUUUCAAUUGGGGGCAUAUCCGUUUUGAUGGUGAGGUCAAUAAUGCUGCUGCAGAGAAAGACAUGGCUAAAUAGGGACAAACUCUAAUUACUUCAAGUGAGAGUUCUGCAUAUCGAGCAAAGAGACAAAAUGAAAGAACACAUCGAAGGACAUAUUUUCAUAAUUGUGAGAUCAUAUGAAAUGAUGUUCCAAAGGUGACAAAAAAUCUGUUACGAACAACAUUUUAUUUUGUAAAUUAGCUAUUUGUUGGUGAAAAUAUGAAAGAAAAAAAAAAUGAUUCCAUGUUACCACAUGAAUAAACAACAUGAUUAUAUUCA